rnacentral:misc_RNA from 1 species
AACAACCAUCAAGCCUGGCUUGUCCUUGGACCCCGUGCCGUUCCCGGCAGGUCUUAAAGAUAACGGCGGCGUUUACCGGACUCCAGAUAUAUCGAGCUUUCCAGGCACGUAUCCCGGUGGUCGGUAGGCGGUGGCCUAACCAUUUUUAUCUUCA